UACGAAUGGAGCGAGCGUUGUUCGGAAUCACUGGGCGCAAAGGGUGCGCAGGCGGUCAUAAAAGUUAGAAGUGAAAGCCCAGGGCUCAACCCUGGAACGGCUUUUAAAACUCUAUGACUUGAGUACUGGAGAGGUUGGCGGAAUUCCGAGUGUAGCAGUGAAAUGCGUAGAUAUUCGGAGGAACACCAAUGGCGUAGGCAGCCAACUGGACAGUUACUGACGCUCAUGCACGAAAGCGUGGGGAUCAAACAGG
rnacentral:rRNA from 1 species